rnacentral:rRNA from 1 species
UACGUAGGGGGCAAGCGUUGUCCGGAUUUAUUGGGCGUAAAGAGCGUGUAGGCGGCUAGGUAGGUCCGUUGUGAAAACUCGAGGCUCAACCUCGAGACGUCGAUGGAAACCAUCUAGCUAGAGUCCGGAAGAGGAGAGUGGAAUUCCUGGUGUAGCGGUGAAAUGCGCAGAUAUCAGGAAGAACACCCGUGGCGAAGGCGGCUCACUGGCCCGGUACUGACGCUGAGGUGCGAAAGCGUGGGGAGCAAACAGG